rnacentral:lncRNA from 1 species
UGAGGUUUUAUUGAGGGCUUACAAUUGGGGAACAAGACCCAACGACAGUGGGCUGGACAACAGAACCACAACCACUUGCAAAAUAAAGUCACACAAUUUAUAGAGGGUUUUAUUUUGAGAUGGAGUCUCGAUCAGUCGCCAGGCUGGAGUGCAGUGGCGCGGUCUCGGCUCACUGCAACCUCCACCUCCUGGGUUCAAGCGAUUCUCCUGCCUCAGCCUCCCGAGUAGCUGGGACUACACGCACGUGCUAACAUGCCCAGCUAACUUUUUUGUAUUUUUAGUAGAGACGGGGUUUCACCAUGUUGGCCAGGAUGGUCUCGAUCUCUUGACCCCAUGAUCCGCCCACCUCGGCCUCCCAAAGUGCUGGGAUUACAGGUGUGAGCCACCACACCCGGCCAAAAAAACCUUUUUAACCUUUGCCAAUGUGAUACAGGAACAAACACAUUUCAGUGCUGUUUUUAAAAGACAGCCCCAGCCUGGGCAACAAAGCCAGACUUCGUCUCUACAAAAAAUAAACAAAAACUAGCCAAGCGUGGUGGCACGCACCUGUAGUCCUGCCUACUUGGGAGGCUGAUACAGAAGGAUCACUUGAGCCCAGGAGGUUGAGGCUGGAGCGAGCUGUGAUCACGUCACUGCACUUCAGCCUGGGCAACAGAGCAAGACAUUGUCAAAAAAAAAAAAAAAAAAAAAGAAGAAAAGAAAAAAUAAAAAGAAAACUACAAACCAAUAUUCCCUAUGUAUGUGGAUGCACAAACUAUCAACAAAAUACUAGAAAGGUGACUACAGUAACAUGUAAAAAUAACUAUACAAUAUAACCAAGUGUGAUUUAUCCCAGGAAUACAAUGUUAUUUUAACAUCCAAAAAUGAAAUUAUAAAAUACCCUAUAUCAAGAAAAAACACAAAAAUCACAUGAUUAUCCCAAUAGUUGCAGAGAAAAAACUGACAAAAUCUAACACCCCUUCAUAUAAAAAUAUUCAAUAAACUAGGAAUAGAGAUAACUUCCUCAUCCUCAUAAAGGGCAUCUGGGAAAAACCCAAAGCUAAGGCUGGGCAUGGUGGCUCACGCCUAUAAUCCCAGCACUUUGGGAGGCCAAGGUGUG